rnacentral:tRNA from 1 species
UAGAAAGUGGUGUAGCGGAAGCACUAAGAGUUUUGAUCUCUUGGGUAUGGGUUCGAGUCCCUUCUUUCUAA